rnacentral:misc_RNA from 1 species
GAUGAAGAACGUAGUGAAAUGCGAUACGUAAUGUGAAUUGCAGAAUUCAGUGAAUCAUCGAGUCUUUGAACGCACAUUGCGCCCCCUGGUAUUCCGGGGGGCAUGCCUGUCCGAGCGUCAUUGCUGCCCUCAAGCACGGCUUGUGUGUUCGGCCUCCGUCCUCCUCCCGGGGGACGGGCCCGAAAGGCAGCGGCGGCACCGCGUCCGGUCCUCGAGCGUAUGGGGCUUCGUCACCCGCUCUUGUAGGCCCGGCCGGCGCUUGCCGACACAUCAAUCUUUUUUCCAGGUUGACCUCGGAUCAGGUAGGGAUACCCGCUGAACUUAAGCAUAUCAAUAAGCGGAGGA